UCAAAUUUGAAAUCUGGCUCUUUCAGAGUCCGAGUUGUAAUUUGAAGAAGGUAUCUUUGGGUCUGGCUCUUGUCUAUGUUUCUUGGAACAGAACGUCACAGAGGGUGAGAAUCCCGUGCGAUGAGAUGAUCCAGGCCUAUGUAAAGUUCCUUCGAAGAGUCGAGUUGUUUGGGAAUGCAGCUCUAAGUGGGUGGUAAAUUCCAUCUAAAGCUAAAUAUUGGCGAGAGACCGAUAGCGAACAAGUACAGUGAUGGAAAGAUGAAAAGAACUUUGAAAAGAGAGUGAAAAAGUACGUGAAAUUGUUGAAAGGGAAGGGCUUGAGAUCAGACUUGGUAUUUUGUAUGUUACUUCUUCGGGGGUGGCCUCUACAGUUUAUCGGGCCAGCAUCAGUUUGGGCGGUAGGAGAAUUGCGUUGGAAUGUGGCACGGCUUCGGUUGUGUGUUAUAGCCUUCGUCGAUACUGCCAGCCUAGACUGAGGACUGCGGUUUAUACCUAGGAUGU
rnacentral:rRNA from 1 species